ACGGAAGGCAGCAGUGGGGAAUAUUGGGCAAUGGGCGCAAGCCUGACCCAGCAACGCCGCGUGAAGGAUGAAGGUCUUCGGAUUGUAAACUUCUUUGAUCAGGGACGAAUUUUGACGGUACCUGAAGAACAAGUCACGGCUAACUACGUGCCAGCAGCCGCGGUAAUACGUAGGUGACAAGCGUUAUCCGGAUUUACUGGGUGUAAAGGGCGUGUAGGCGGUUUGGCAAGUCAGAAGUGAAAUUCCUGAGCUCAACUCGGGCGCUGCUUCUGAAACUGCUAGACUUGAGUGCUGGAGGGGAUAGCGGAAUUCCUAGUGGAGCGGUAAAAUGCGCAGAUAUUAGGAAGAACACCGGUGGCGAAGGCGGCUAUCUGGACAGUAACUGACGCUGAGGCGCGAAAGCGUGGGGAGCAAACAGGAUUAGAUACCCUGGUA
rnacentral:rRNA from 1 species